rnacentral:rRNA from 1 species
UACGUAGGGGGCAAGCGUUGUCCGGAAUCAUUGGGCGUAAAGCGCGCGUAGGCGGCCCGGUAAGUCCGCUGUGAAAGUCCAGGGCUCAACCCUGGAAAGCCGGUGGAUACUGCCGGGCUAGAGUCCGGAAGAGGCGAGUGGAAUUCCUGGUGUAGCGGUGGAAUGCGCAGAUAUCGGGAGGAACACCAGUGGCGAAGGCGGCGAUCUGGGCAGACACUGACGCUGAGGUGCGAAAGCGUGGGGAGCAAACAGG